rnacentral:rRNA from 1 species
UACAGAGGUCUCAAGCGUUGUUCGGAUUCAUUGGGCGUAAAGGGUGCGUAGGCGGCGCGGUAAGUCGGGUGUGAAAUCUCGGAGCUUAACUCCGAAACUGCAUUCGAUACUGCCGUGCUUGAGGGCUGGAGAGGAGACUGGAAUUUACGGUGUAGCGGUGAAAUGCGUAGAUAUUCGGAAGAACACCAGUGGCGAAGGCGGCUCACUGGUCCGGUACUGACGCUGAGGUGCGAAAGCGUGGGGAGCAAACAGG